rnacentral:sRNA from 10 species
AUUUGACUUAAGGGGCAACUCUUAACUGGCCAGGUAAGGAAAAACCGAGAGGUUCAAGCUUACAGGGCAGAAAACUCUGCAAAGUAGCGCUUAACAUAGCAGGGUGGCGGGUUCGGCGGUAGCGCAUUACAACGACGAACCAA